CCGGGGGGGGGAUGCUUACCAUGCAGUCGAACGGAAUCUUAGGAUUUAGUGGCGGACGGGUGAGUAACGCGUGAGAAUCUAGCUCUAGGUCGGGGACAACCACUGGAAACGGUGGCUAAUACCGGAUGAGCCGAAAGGUAAAAGAUUAAUUGCCUAGAGAUGAGCUCGCGUCUGAUUAGCUAGUUGGUGUGGUAAGAGCGCACCAAGGCGACGAUCAGUAGCUGGUCUGAGAGGAUGAUCAGCCACACUGGGACUGAGACACGGCCCAGACUCCUACGGGAGGCAGCAGUGGGGAAUUUUCCGCAAUGGGCGAAAGCCUGACGGAGCAAUACCGCGUGAGGGAGGAAGGCUCUUGGGUUGUAAACCUCUUUUCUCAAGGAAUAAGAAAGUGAAGGUACUUGAGGAAUAAGCAUCGGCUAACUCCGUGCCAGCAGCCGCGGUAAUACGGAGGAUGCAAGCGUUAUCCGGAAUGAUUGGGCGUAAAGGGUCCGCAGGUGGCCCUGUAAGUCUGCUGUUAAAGAGUGAGGCUCAACCUCAUAAAAGCAGUGGAAACUACAGAGCUAGAGUGCGUUCGGGGUAGCAGGAAUUCCUGGUGUAGCGGGAAAUGGGCUAAGAAAAGUUCUUUUUUCUUCAGAUUUCCUUUUUGCUAUUUUC
rnacentral:rRNA from 1 species